GGGGGUGACCUGGCUUCGACGUGGGUCGCGAAACUCCGAGUGCAUGCCGAGGAACAGAUUACCUCGUAAAACCAGCUGUAAAACCUAUAGUUGCCAACGACGACAACUACGCACUAGCUGCUUAAAAACCAGUUUAGCGCCCUCUGACCGGAUGUGCCUGUGCGUCUGGGGUUCAGGGGUCACCGACACGGGACCGCGGCAAGGGCAUGUUCAGGGCCCGAACCGUUAAAUCCUUUCUGAACUGGCUGUGAGUUUUCCCUGCCCGUCGGGUAGCUUGCGGUGAGAUCAAAGACGGAAUAAGCAUGUAGACCUCGGCGCGGAGGACUUGCGGACGCGAGUUCGAUUCUCGCCACCUCCACCA
rnacentral:tmRNA from 1 species